GAUGAACGCUGGCGGCGUGCCUAAUACAUGCAAGUCGAACGAGUUCUCGUUGAUGAUCGGUGCUUGCACCGAGAUUCAACAUGGAACGAGUGGCGGACGGGUGAGUAACACGUGGGUAACCUGCCCUUAAGUGGGGGAUAACAUUUGGAAACAGAUGCUAAUACCGCAUAGAUCCAAGAACCGCAUGGUUCUUGGCUGAAAGAUGGCGUAAGCUAUCGCUUUUGGAUGGACCCGCGGCGUAUUAGCUAGUUGGUGAGGUAAUGGCUCACCAAGGCGAUGAUACGUAGCCGAACUGAGAGGUUGAUCGGCCACAUUGGGACUGAGACACGGCCCAAACUCCUACGGGAGGCAGCAGUAGGGAAUCUUCCACAAUGGACGCAAGUCUGAUGGAGCAACGCCGCGUGAGUGAAGAAGGCUUUCGGGUCGUAAAACUCUGUUGUUGGAGAAGAAUGGUCGGCAGAGUAACUGUUGUCGGCGUGACGGUAUCCAACCAGAAAGCCACGGCUAACUACGUGCCAGCAGCCGCGGUAAUACGUAGGUGGCAAGCGUUAUCCGGAUUUAUUGGGCGUAAAGCGAGCGCAGGCGGUUUUUUAAGUCUGAUGUGAAAGCCCUCGGCUUAACCGAGGAAGCGCAUCGGAAACUGGGAAACUUGAGUGCAGAAGAGGACAGUGGAACUCCAUGUGUAGCGGUGAAAUGCGUAGAUAUAUGGAAGAACACCAGUGGCGAAGGCGGCUGUCUGGUCUGUAACUGACGCUGAGGCUCGAAAGCAUGGGUAGCGAACAGGAUUAGAUACCCUGGUAGUCCAUGCCGUAAACGAUGAAUGCUAGGUGUUGGAGGGUUUCCGCCCUUCAGUGCCGCAGCUAACGCAUUAAGCAUUCCGCCUGGGGAGUACAACCGCAAGGUUGAAACUCAAAGGAAUUGACGGGGGCCCGCACAAGCGGUGGAGCAUGUGGUUUAAUUCGAAGCAACGCGAAGAACCUUACCAGGUCUUGACAUCUUUUGAUCACCUGAGAGAUCAGGUUUCCCCUUCGGGGGCAAAAUGACAGGUGGUGCAUGGUUGUCGUCAGCUCGUGUCGUGAGAUGUUGGGUUAAGUCCCGCAACGAGCGCAACCCUUAUGACUAGUUGCCAGCAUUUAGUUGAGCACUCUAGUAAGACUGCCGGUGACAAACCGGAGGAAGGUGGGGAUGACGUCAAAUCAUCAUGCCCCUUAUGACCUGGGCUACACACGUGCUACAAUGGAUGGUACAACGAGUUGCGAGACCGCGAGGUCAAGCUAAUCUCUUAAAGCCAUUCUCAGUUCGGACUGUAGGCUGCAACUCGCCUACACGAAGUCGGAAUCGCUAGUAAUCGCGGAUCAGCACGCCGCGGUGAAUACGUUCCCGGGCCUUGUACACACCGCCCGUCACACCAUGAGAGUUUGUAACACCCGAAGCCGGUGGCGUAACCCUUUUAGGGAGCGAGCCGUCUAAGGUGGGACAAAUGAUUAGGGUG
rnacentral:rRNA from 1 species